AUUGAACGCUGGCGGCAGGCCUAACACAUGCAAGUCGAGCGGAUGAAGGGAGCUUGCUCCUGGAUUCAGCGGCGGACGGGUGAGUAAUGCCUAGGAAUCUGCCUGGUAGUGGGGGAUAACGUCCGGAAACGGGCGCUAAUACCGCAUACGUCCUGAGGGAGAAAGUGGGGGAUCUUCGGACCUCACGCUAUCAGAUGAGCCUAGGUCGGAUUAGCUAGUUGGUGGGGUAAAGGCCUACCAAGGCGACGAUCCGUAGCUGGUCUGAGAGGAUGAUCAGUCACACUGGAACUGAGACACGGUCCAGACUCCUACGGGAGGCAGCAGUGGGGAAUAUUGGACAAUGGGCGAAAGCCUGACCCAGCCAUGCCGCGUGUGUGAAGAAGGUCUUCGGAUUGUAAAGCACUUUAAGUUGGGAGGAAGGGCAGUAAGUUAAUACCUUGCUGUUUUGACGUUACCAGCAGAAUAAGCACCGGCUAACUUCGUG
rnacentral:rRNA from 1 species